rnacentral:tRNA from 1 species
GGGGUAUAUCUCAGUGGUACAGUACAUGCUUAACUUGCAUGAAACCCUGGGUUCAAACCCCAGUGUGCACA